GACGAACGCUGGCGGCGUGCCUAAUACAUGCAAGUAGAACGCACAGUUUAUACCGUAGCUUGCUACACCAUAGACUGUGAGUUGCGAACGGGUGAGUAACGCGUAGGUAACCUGCCUGGUAGCGGGGGAUAACUAUUGGAAACGAUAGCUAAUACCGCAUAAUAUUAAUUAUUGCAUGAUAAUUAAUUGAAAGGUGCAAUUGCACCACUACCAGAUGGACCUGCGUUGUAUUAGCUAGUAGGUGAGGUAACGGCUCACCUAGGCGACGAUACAUAGCCGACCUGAGAGGGUGAUCGGCCACACUGGGACUGAGACACGGCCCAGACUCCUACGGGAGGCAGCAGUAGGGAAUCUUCGGCAAUGGACGAAAGUCUGACCGAGCAACGCCGCGUGAGUGAAGAGGGUUUUCGGAUCGUAAAGCUCUGUUGUAAGAGAAGAACGGGUGUGAGAGUGGAAAGUUCACACUGUGACG
rnacentral:rRNA from 1 species